GAGAAGAGAAUGGGCAUGGAGAAGAUGGC
rnacentral:piRNA from 2 species